UGAACGCUAGCGACAGGCUUAACACAUGCAAGUCGAGGGGUAACAGGGUAGCAAUACCGCUGACGACCGGCGCACGGGUGAGUAACGCGUAUGCAACCUGCCUGUAACUGGGGGAAUAGCUCCCUGAAAGGGGAAUUAACACCGCAUAACACUAUUGAUUCGCAUGGAUUGGUAGUUAAAUGUAGCGAUACAGGUUAUAGAUGGGCAUGCGUGACAUUAGCUAGUUGGUGAGGUAACGGCUCACCAAGGCUACGAUGUCUAGGGGUUCUGAGAGGAAGGUCCCCCACACUGGUACUGAGACACGGACCAGACUCCUACGGGAGGCAGCAGUGAGGAAUAUUGGUCAAUGGGCGCAAGCCUGAACCAGCCAUGUCGCGUGCAGGAAGACUGCCCUAUGGGUUGUAAACUGCUUUUAUAGUAGAAGAAACACAUCUACGCGUAGAUGUCUGCCAGUAUACUAUGAAUAAGCAUCGGCUAACUCCGUGCCAGCCGCUGC
rnacentral:rRNA from 1 species